rnacentral:tRNA from 1 species
GAUAGCUAUAGUUUAGCGGUAAAACAACUGUAUGUGGCAUAGUAUACCUGAGUUCAAAUCUCAGUAGUUAUC